CUGUGUAAAUGGAUUGAGACAGCUGGAGUGCUGGUGAAGAACAGAAUGGUUUUCGUGGGGGAUAGGAGAGCUGAGGACAAUAUGUUUGUGGUGAAUGAAAUGAUUGAGAAGAAAAAGAAGGAUGGGGGUAAAUUGUACCUAGGUUUUCUGGAUAUAGAGAAAGCUUAUGAUAGAGUGAACAGAGAAAUGCUAGGUAGAGUCUUAGAAAAGAUUGAAUUGAGUGCAAAGAUUUUUAACAUAGUGCAAAGAGGAUGAGACGGUGGAACAUGUGGUGCUGGAGUGUGUGAAGUAUGCCAGAGACAGGAAUGAGAUGAUGCAAGUGAUACUGACUGAGUUAGGGCAUGAUAGGAAUGAAAGAGUGGAGAAGACAGGAAAGGAAUGGAUGGUGUUGUUGCUGGGACUGUGUAGAGAGGCGAAUGAAAGGAUGACUGAGGCGGUGAAACAGUUUCUGGAGAGAAUGUGGCGUGCCAGGUGUAGGAACAAUUAGGAUAGAGGAUGCUGUUCGUUUUUUUUUUUUUUUUUUUUCUACAGGAGUUGCCGAUCCAAAGGCCUGGCUCAGGAGUGAUCCUGUGCCACCUGUACCAUCAAGAUCAAGAUCAAGAUGUAGGCUCCUCGAGAAGAAGGACCACUUGUCCCAGUGCAGUGGGUGUCUCUUAAGGCUGAAGGAGGAGUGGGAGGUACUUGCUGUGAGGCAUGGUGAGGUGGAGGGCUCGGAAACGGAGGUGGCCGUGGCUAUUGCUGUUAGUUGUGCUUGCUUGUCAGGCUUUGUGUGUGUAUGUGGGGAUUUGCACGUCACCUGUUGUCUGGGGCUCCCCUUGUUGUGUGUCACCUGUGUUCGUGAAGCACACUUACAGAUUGUUGAGGCUAACUUGACUCCUUCAUUGCAGACGCCUUAAGGAGCACGCAUGACGCUUUAAAGCGGAGGGCGGUUCGGGAAGAGGUGACGCGUGCCCUGACACAGAGGGUGUCUGGACGGCCUCCUUCCUGCCGUGCCCAAGAGCUCGCCCGCCGGCGAGCGCCCGCCGCUGGACCCGCCAUUCGUGUAGACGUGCGGUCCCUCCCGGCCGGGUCGCGGCCCGCACGCGCGGACCGACGGGUGGACGUUGUUGCAGGCGCAUCAACAGGUCAGGCGACACAAGCAGCCUUGACUUGCCUGGUGGGUGGAAGAGCCGCAGCAGUACAGGUCCACUGGCUUAUUGAAGGUGGAGACCAACUCAGGCAGCCUGUGAACCCCCCUGUGACCUGUGACCCCCCCGUGACCUGCAAGACACAGCCACUCCAGGACAGGAUGACUCAGCAGCAUGUGACCACCUAACAACAACAACAACAACAACAGACUUUCCUUGUUUAUUUGGUGAGAGAGAGAGAGAGAGAGAUGCAAUAUUUUAAGCCUUCCAUCAGUUCACCUCCCAGCUUCUACUACUACUUCUACUACUACUAUUACUACUACUACUACUAGUACUACUGCUACUGCUACUGCUACUGCUACAACUUCUCCGCACAGUAUCACCACCCUACACGUCCCAUUCCAAAGCAAAUGGCCAUAUUUGGGGACAGAGCGCAGCAACAUCCACUUCGUUAAAAUUGUGACUGCAAUUAAAUGGAUACUGCAUGAACUGGAAUAAGGCUAUUGAACUGUCAUUGUCUUGGCACCACGAGGGAGAGCAGGGUAUGUGCUGUCAUAUGGACUGGUCACUCACAACUUGGACACUGAAACAAGCCUCUCCCAGACCCCCCCCCUCUCUCUCUCUCUCUCUCUCUCUCUCUCUCUCUCUCUCUCUCUCUCUCUCUCUCUCUCUCUCUCUCUCUCUCUCUCUCUCUCUCUCUCUCUCUCUCUCUCUCUCUCUCUCUCUCUCUCUCUCUCUCUCUCUCUCUCUCUCUCUCUCUCUCUCUCUCUCUCUCUCUCUCUCUCUCUCUCUCUCUCUCUCCACAGAACUGAGUGACCCCCGUGCACUGUUGGUUCUCCACAAUGACAUCGUUGUUGUGGACCUACUCUCCCCCAGCUACCCCUGUUUUGAGAACCCCUAUUGAAGGGAUACACACGAGUCACCUGUCACCGGCUGUACACACCUGGCUGACUGCCCUGCUGACCUCAACCCUGCCCUCUACUUAGCUGGGGCCAUGGGAGGGGGCACAGGAAGCAGGGUUUCUCUGAGAAGGAGUGGCCAAUCUCUGGGAGGGAGUGGGACAGCACCUCUUGCCCCUACCCUGAAAUGACCUUGACUGGACAUGUGGAUGGGUCAAUAAAAUUCUGGGAUGCCUCUUCUGUGGGACUCCAGAUUCUUUACAAUUUGAAGACUGCAAACUGCCUCGAGGUGCCAGUCAUUUAUGAAGUGUAUGAAAGCAGAAACGGGUCUCCAAAAUAUGAUUUUUGCCCAAGAUCUUCCCUUCAGGUGAGUCUGAUGAUGACGAUGAUACUAUUGCUGCUGCUGCUGCUACUGCUGCUGCUGCUGCUGCUGCUGCUGCUGCUGCUGCUGCUGCUGCUGCUGCUGCUACUACUACUACUACUACUACUACUACUACUACUACUACUACUACUACUGCUGCUACUACUACUACUACUACUACUACUACUACUACUACUAUCUUUGCAGACCUCUUUGGACUAUUUCGUGUCCAUCCAUGUCAGAGCAGGACCGCAAAGAAGACCGGCUGGCUGGCUACCGGGUGAGAGAGAGAG